rnacentral:rRNA from 1 species
UAAUGUCUGGGAAACUGCCUGAUGGAGGGGGGAGUAACUACUGGAAACGGUAGCUAAUACCGCAUAACGUCGCAAGACCAAAGAGGGGGACCUUCGGGCCUCUUGCCAUCGGAUGUGCCCAGAUGGGAUUAGCUAGUAGGUGGGGUAACGGCUCACCUAGGCGACGAUCCCUAGCUGGUCUGAGAGGAUGACCAGCCACACUGGAACUGAGACACGGUCCAGACUCCUACGGGAGGCCAGCAUG